rnacentral:rRNA from 1 species
CGUAGGCUCCAAGCGUUGUCCGGAUUUAUUGGGCGUAAAGAGCUCGUAGGCGGUUCAGCAAGUCGGGUGUGAAAACUCUGGGCUCAACCCAGAGCCUGCACCCGAAACUGCUGUGACUAGAGUUCGGUAGGGGAGUGGGGAAUUCCUAGUGUAGCGGUGAAAUGCGCAGAUAUUAGGAGGAACACCGAUGGCGAAGGCACCACUCUGGGCCGAAACUGACGCUGAGGAGCGAAAGCGUGGGUAGCAAACAGGAUUAGAUACCCUGGUAGUCCACGCCGUAAACGAUGGGCACUAGGUGUGGGUCUCUAACCAACGAGAUCCGCGCCGUCGCUAACGCAUUAAGUGCCCCGCCUGGGGAGUACGGUCGCAAGACUA